rnacentral:rRNA from 1 species
UACAGAGGGUGCAAGCGUUGUUCGGAAUUACUGGGCGUAAAGCGUGCGUAGUCGGUAUUGAGAGUCGCGGGUGAAAUCCCAGGGCUUAACCCUGGAACUGCCUGCGAGACCUCAGUACUAGAGUGUGAGAGGGGAUAGUGGAAUACCCAGUGUAGCGGUGAAAUGCGUAGAGAUUGGGUGGAACACCGGUGGCGAAGGCGGCUAUCUGGCUCACAAACUGACGAUCAGGCACGAAAGCGUGGGGAGCAAACAGG